rnacentral:rRNA from 1 species
AAUCAACGCUGGCGGCGUGCCUAACACAUGCAAGUCGAACGAUUAAAGCCCUUUCGGGGGUGUAUAGAGUGGCGUACGGGUGAGUAACACGUGGGUAAGUCUACCUUUGGGUUGGGGGAAGUAAACUCAGGGAAACUUGAGCUAAUACCGCAUAAUGCAGCGGCUCGACAUCGAGACAGUUGUUAAAGAUUUAUCGCCUGAAGAGGAGCCUGCGCCUGAUUAGCUAGUUGGUGGGGGAAUGGCUUACCAAGGCUACGAUCAGUAGCUGGUCUGAGA